rnacentral:rRNA from 1 species
GAUGAACGCUGGCGGCGUGCUUAACACAUGCAAGUCGAACGAAGCACUUUAUUUGAUUUCCUUCGGGACUGAUUAUUUUGUGACUGAGUGGCGGACGGGUGAGUAACGCGUGGGUAACCUGCCUUGUACAGGGGGAUAACAGUUGGAAACGGCUGCUAAUACCGCAUAAGCGCACAUCAUCUCAUGAUGCAGUGUGAAAAACUCCGGUGGUAUAAGAUGGACCCGCGUUGGAUUAGCUAGUUGGUGAGGUAACGGCCCACCAAGGCGACGAUCCAUAGCCGACCUGAGAGGGUGACCGGCCACAUUGGGACUGAGACACGGCCCAAACUCCUACGGGAGGCAGCAGUGGGGAAUAUUGCACAAUGGGCGAAAGCCUGAUGCAGCGACGCCGCGUGAGCGAAGAAGUAUUUCGGUAUGUAAAGCUCUAUCAGCAGGGAAGAUAAUGACGGUACCUGACGAAGAAGCACCGGCUAAAUACGUG